rnacentral:rRNA from 1 species
UAAUGUGAAUUGCAGAAUUCAGUGAAUCAUCGAGUCUUUGAACGCACAUUGCGCCCCCUGGCAUUCCGGGGGGCAUGCCUGUCCGAGCGUCAUUG